rnacentral:rRNA from 1 species
UACGGAGGGUGCAAGCGUUGCUCGGAAUCACUGGGCGUAAAGCGACCGCAGGCGGCCUGACAAGUCGGAUGUGAAAGCCCUGGGCUCAACUCAGGAAUUGCAUUCGAAACUGGUAGGCUCGAGUACGGGAGAGGGGGGUGGAAUUCCUGGUGUAGGGGUGAAAUUCGUUGAUAUCAGGAGGAACACCGGCGGCGAAGGCGGCACUCUGGGCCGGUACUGACGCUGAGGAGCGAAAGCGUGGGGAGCGAACAGG